rnacentral:SRP_RNA from 1 species
ACCAGGCGUGGUGGCAUGUACCUGUAGUCUCGGCUACUCAGAGGCUGAGGCUGGAGGAUCGCUUGAGCCCAGGAGUUCUGGGCUGUAGUGCGCUAUGCCGAUAGGACAUCUGCAUCAAGUUUGGCAUCAAUAUGGUGACCUCCCAUGAGCAGGGGACCACCAGGUUGCCUAAGGAGGGGUGAACUGGCCCAGGUCGGAAACGGAGCAGUUCAAAACUCCUUUGCUGAUCUGUAGUAGGAUCAUGUCUGUAAACAGCCACUGCACUCCAGCCUGGGCAACAUAUCAUGAUCAUGUCUCA